UACGAAGGGGGCUAGCGUUGCUCGGAAUCACUGGGCGUAAAGCGCACGUAGGCGGACUCUUAAGUCGGUGGUGAAAUCCUGGAGCUCAACUCCAGAACUGCCUUCGAUACUGGGAGUCUCGAGUCCGGGAGAGGUGAGUGGAACUCGAGUGUAGAGGUGAAAUUCGUAGAUAUUCGCAAGAACACCAGUGGCGAAGGCGGCUCACUGGCCCGGUACUGACGCUGAGGUGCGAAAGCGUGGGGAGCAAAACAGG
rnacentral:rRNA from 1 species